AACACAAAUUGUUUUUGUUUGGUUUGUGGACAAAGACUUAGACAAGUGGGAAAAAUAAAUCCUUUUUUGUAAUCCAGAACUCACUGUUCAAGUAUGAGUUUUGGAUACAGAUAAGAAGGAAUAUG